rnacentral:rRNA from 1 species
GUGAGGAAUAUUGGUCAAUGGGCGGGAGCCUGAACCAGCCAAGUCGCGUGAAGGAAGAAGGAUCUAUGGUUCGUAAACUUCUUUUGCAGGGGAAUAAAGUGCAGGACGUGUCCUGUUUUGUAUGUACCCUGAGAAUAAGGAUCGGCUAACUCCGUGCCAGCAGCCGCGGUAAUACGGAGGAUCCGAGCGUUAUCCGGAUUGAUUGGGUUUAAAGGGUGCGUAGGUGGUUUGAUAAGUCAGCGGUGAAAGUUUGCAGCUUAACUGUAAAAAUGCCGUUGAAACUGUCGGACUUGAGUGUAAAUGAGGUAGGCGGAAUGCGUGGUGUAGCGGUGAAAUGCAUAGAUAUCACGCAGAACUCCGAUUGCGAAGGCAGCUUACUAAGCUACAACUGACACUGAAGCACGAAAGCGUGGGGAUCAAACAGGAUUAGAAACCCUAGUAGUCC